rnacentral:rRNA from 1 species
GACGAACGCUGGCGGCGUGCUUAACACAUGCAAGUCGAGCGGUAAGGCCCUUUCGGGGGUACACGAGCGGCGAACGGGUGAGUAACACGUGGGUGACCUGCCCUCAGCUCUGGGAUAAGCCUGGGAAACCGGGUCCAAUACCGGAUAUGACUCCAUGACGCAUGUUGUGGGGUGGAAAGCCUUGUGCGGCUGAGGAUGGGCCCGCGGCCUAUCAGCUUGUUGGUGGGGUGANGGCCUACCAAGGCGACGACGGGUAGCCGGCCUGAGAGGGCGACCGGCCACACUGGGACUGAGGCACGGCCCAGACUCCUACGGGAGGCAGCAGUGGGGAAUCUUGCGCAAUGGGCGAAAGCCUGACGCAGCGACGCCGCGUGAGGGAUGA